UACGUAGGGACCAAGCGUUGUUCGGAUUUACUGGGCGUAAAGGGCGCGUAGGCGGCGUGUUAAGUCAGCUGUGAAAUCUCCGAGCUUAACUUGGAACGGUCAGCUGAUACUGAUGUGCUAGAGUGCAGAAGGGGCAAUUGGAAUUCUUGGUGUAGCGGUGAAAUGCGUAGAUAUCAAGAGGAACACCUGAGGUGAAGACGGGUUGCUGGGCUGACACUGACGCUGAGGCGCGAAAGCUAGGGUAGCAAACGGG
rnacentral:rRNA from 1 species